CACAUUUGACAACUACGUGUAAAUACGUCAACUUAACAAUCCAUGCAACGCUGUUCAACUUACAAACAUGUGAACUUUGCAAGGAGGCGUGACUGUCAAUCAAAUUCGCCCACCCUGAUUGGCGGAUAAUUUGUGUACACAACGUUUAU